UCUCCGUUGGUGAACCAGCGGAGGGAUCAUUACCGAGUUAUUCUACUCCCAAAAUCCUGUGAACUUAUACCUUUACUGUUGCUUCGGCGGGUUAACGCCCCGGAAGGCCCGCGAGGGCCGCCGGAACCAGGCGCCCGCCGGGGGACCCGAACUCUUGUAUCUUUUUUAUAGAAUGUCUGAGUGGAAUCAUAAACAAAUGAAUCAAAACUUUCAACAACGGAUCUCUUGGUUCUG
rnacentral:misc_RNA from 1 species